rnacentral:rRNA from 1 species
GACGAACGCUGGCGGCGUGCUUAACACAUGCAAGUCGAACGGAAAGGCCCUGCUUUUGGGGGGUGCUCGAGUGGCGAACGGGUGAGUAACACGUGAGUAACCUGCCCCUGACUUUGGGAUAACUUCAUGAAACUGGGGCUAAUACCGGAUAAGAGCUCCUGCUGCAUGGUGGGGGUUGGAUAGUUUCGGCGGUUGGGGGUGGACUCGCGGCUUAUCGGCUUGUUGGUGGGGUAGUGGGAUACCAAGGCUUUGACGGGUAGCCGGCCUGGGAGGGUGACCGGCCACAUUGGGCCUGAGAUACGGCCCAGACUCCAACGGGAGGCAGCGGUGGGGAAUAUUGUACAAUGGGCGGAAGCCUGAUGCAGCAACGCCGCGUGCGGGAUGACGGCCUGCGGGUUGUAAACCGCUUUCGCCUGAGACGAAGCGUGAGUGACGGUAAUGGGUAAAGAAGCACCGGCUAACUACGUG